rnacentral:rRNA from 1 species
GAAUUCCUGGUGUAGCGGUGGAAUGCGCAGAUAUCAGGAGGAACACCGAUGGCGAAGGCAGAUCUCUGGGCCGUAACUGACGCUGAGGAGCGAAAGCAUGGGGAGCGAACAGGAUUAGAUACCCUGGUAGUCCAUGCCGUAAACGUUGGGCGCUAGAUGUAGGGACCUUUCCACGGUUUCUGUGUCGUAGCUAACGCAUUAAGCGCCCCGCCUGGGGAGUACGGCCGCAAGGCUAAAACUCAAAGGAAUUGACGGGGGCCCGCACAAGCGGCGGAGCAUGCGGAUUAAUUCGAUGCAACGCGAAGAACCUUACCAAGGCUUGACAUACACCGGAAACGGCCAGAGAUGGUCGCCCCCUUGUGGUCGGUGUACAGGUGGUGCAUGGUUGUCGUCAGCUCGUGUCGUGAGAUGUUGGGUUAAGUCCCGCAACGAGCGCAACCCUCGUUCUAUGUUGCCAGCGGGUUAUGCCGGGGACUCAUAGGAGACUGCCGGGGUCAACUCGGAGGAAGGUGGGGAUGACGUCAAAUCAUCAUGCCCCUUAUGUCUUGGGCUUCACGCAUGCUACAAUGGCCGGUACAAAGGGCUGCGAUACCGUAAGGUGGAGCGAAUCCCAAAAAGCCGGUCUCAGUUCGGAUUGAGGUCUGCAACUCGACCUCAUGAAGUCGGAGUCGCUAGUAAUCGCAGAUCAGCAACGCUGCGGUGAAUACGUUCCCGGGCCUUGUACACACCGCCCGUCAGUCAUGAAAGUCGGUAACACCCGAAGCCGGUGGCCUAACCCUUGUGGAAGGAGCCGUCAAAGUGGGAUCGGUGAUUAGGACGAAGUCGUA